rnacentral:rRNA from 1 species
AAUCAACGCUGGCGGCGCGCUUAACACAUGCAAGUCGAGCGAGAAAGUGGAGCAAUCCAUGAGUACAGCGGCGUACGGGUGAGUAACACGUGGAUCAUCUACCUUCGAGUGGGGGAUAACCCUGGGAAACCGGGGCUAAUACCGCCUAAGCCUGAGAAGGGAAAGCUUCUAUUUAAAAGAUGGGGGCGCUGGAAGAGGAGUCCGCGGCCGAUUAGCUAGUUGGUGAGGUAACGGCCCACCAAGGCGACGAUCGGUAGCCGGCCUGAGAGGGCACACG